GCUUAGGUUAGGUUUGGGCUAAGGUUUGGGUCUGGUGUUGGGUUUCUCAGAUUUGGGUAUUGUAUUGGGUAUUAGAUUAAAAGGAUUUGGGCUAUGCUGGGCCCAUGUAUUUGGACUUUGGACUUUUAAAUGUUGAUUUGGUUUAUAUUUUUUUUGAUAUUUUUUGUUUAUUUAUUUCAGAUUUGGGCCAGGCAAAUUGGGCCUAUUACAGCUGCCCCUCUUAUCUCAUUGUCGUGUAACGGGAAUGAAGCA
rnacentral:lncRNA from 1 species